rnacentral:rRNA from 1 species
UACGUAGGUGACCAGCGUUGUCCGGAUUUACUGGGCGUAAAGAGCGCGCAGGCGGUCGUUCAAGUCGAGUGUGAAAGCCCCCGGCUCAACUGGGGAGGGUCACUCGAUACUGAUCGACUUGAAGGCAGGAGAGGGAAGCGGAAUUCCCGGUGCAGUGGUGAAAUGCGUAGAUAUCGGGAGGAACACCAGUGGCGAAGGCGGCUUCCUGGCCUGUUCUUGACGCUGAGGCGCGAAAGCUAGGGGAGCAAACGGG